rnacentral:rRNA from 1 species
AGAGUUUGAUCCUGGCUCAGGACGAACGCUGGCGGCGUGCUUAACACAUGCAAGUCGAACGGAAAGGCCCUUCGGGGUACUCGAGUGGCGAACGGGUGAGUAACACGUGGGUGAUCUGCCCUGCACUCUGGGAUAAGCCUGGGAAACUGGGUCUAAUACCGGAUAGGACCACACACUUCAUGGUGAGUGGUGCAAAGCUUUUGCGGUGUGGGAUGAGCCCGCGGCCUAUCAGCUUGUUGGUGGGGUAAUGGCCCACCAAGGCGACGACGGGUAGCCGGCCUGAGAGGGUGACCGGCCACACUGGGACUGAGAUACGGCCCAGACUCCUACGGGAGGCAGCAGUGGGGAAUAUUGCACAAUGGGCGCAAGCCUGAUGCAGCGACGCCGCGUGAGGGAUGACGGCCUUCGGGUUGUAAACCUCUUUCAGUAGGGACGAAGCGAAAGUGACGGUACCUACAGAAGAAGGACCGGCCAACUACGUGCCAGCAGCCGCGGUAAUACGUAGGGUCCGAGCGUUGUCCGGAAUUACUGGGCGUAAGGAGCUCGUAGGUGGUUUGUCGCGUUGUUCGUGAAAACUCACAGCUUAACUGUGGGCGUGCGGGUGAUACGGGCAGACUAGAGUACUGCAGGGGAGACUGGAAUUCCUGGUGUAGCGGUGGAAUGCGCAGAUAUCAGGAGGAACACCGGUGGCGAAGGCGGGUCUCUGGGCAGUAACUGACGCUGAGGAGCGAAAGCGUGGGUAGCGAACAGGAUUAGAUACCCUGGUAGUCC